rnacentral:rRNA from 1 species
AGUUUGAUCCUGGCUCAGAACGAACGCUGGCGGCAUGCCUAAUACAUGCAAGUCGAACGAGAUCUUCGGAUCUAGUGGCGCACGGGUGCGUAACGCGUGGGAAUCUGCCCUUGGGUUCGGAAUAACUUCUGGAAACGGAAGCUAAUACCGGAUGAUGACGUAAGUCCAAAGAUUUAUCGCCCAAGGAUGAGCCCGCGUAGGAUUAGCUAGUUGGUGGGGUAAAGGCUCACCAAGGCGACGAUCCUUAGCUGGUCUGAGAGGAUGAUCAGCCACACUGGGACUGAGACACGGCCCAGACUCCUACGGGAGGCAGCAGUAGGGAAUAUUGGACAAUGGGCGAAAGCCUGAUCCAGCAAUGCCGCGUGAGUGAUGAAGGCCUUAGGGUUGUAAAGCUCUUUUACCCGGGAUGAUAAUGACAGUACCGGGAGAAUAAGCUCCGGCUAACUCCGUGCCAGCAGCCGCGGUAAUACGGAGGGAGCUAGCGUUGUUCGGAAUUACUGGGCGUAAAGCGCACGUAGGCGGCUAUUCAAGUCAGAGGUGAAAGCCCGGGGCUCAACCCCGGAACUGCCUUUGAAACUAGAUAGCUUGAAUCCAGGAGAGGUGAGUGGAAUUCCGAGUGUAGAGGUGAAAUUCGUAGAUAUUCGGAAGAACACCAGGUUNGGGGGUUGGGGGUNGCUUUACNGNNAGNGNNUCNUGGACUGGUAUUGACGCUGAGGUGCUUUAAGCGUGGGGAGCAAACAGGAUUAGAUAGGCUGGUAGUCCACGCCGUAAACGAUGAUAACUAGCUGUCAGGGCACAUGGUGUUUUGGUGGCGCAGCUAACGCAUUAAGUUAUCCGCCUGGGGAGUACNGUCGCAAGAUUAAAACUCNCAGGAAUUGACGGGGGCCUGCANANNCGGUGGANCAUGUGGUUUANUUNGAAGCANCGCNCAGAACCUUACCAACGUUUGANNUCCCUAUCGCGGAUCGUGGANACACUUUCCUUCANUUCGGCUGGAUAGGNGACANGUGCUGCAUGGCUGUCNUCAUCUCGUGUCUUGAUAUUUUGGNUUAAG